GGGUCGCUAGCUCAGUCGGUAGAGCAGCGGACUUUUAAUCCGUUGGUCCCGCGUUCGAGUCGCGGACGACCCACCA
rnacentral:tRNA from 1 species